rnacentral:misc_RNA from 1 species
CUGUUGUUGGGAGGGAUCAAGAAGUUCAUGGAGCAGUGUUGAAGCAGGAAAUGAAUGCGGGGACAUGGUGGAUGGACAGGAGCAUAGUUACUGGUUCGUUCCCUUUUUGGAACAGUGCUACUGGAAAGUAAUACAAGCAUUUUCUUUGGUGGAAGUCACUCGUGUUUUGUGUUCUGAGAUUCUGUGCGAUGUCGCGUUGUUUUCCAUUUCCACCACCAGGAUAUGAAAAGGCUAGGAGAGAUGAUGUGGACUUACUAAAAAAGGAAAAGGACAGAGAGAAGAAGCUGAAGAAAGAGAAGAAGAACAGAGAAAAGAAAGAAGGAAAGGAUAAAGAAAAAAGGGAAAAAGAUAGAACCGAUGGAAAGCAUAGGGAUAAGAAAGAGAAAAAAGAAAAGCAGAGAGACAAAAAGGAGAAGGACAGAGAUAAGGAUAGAGACAAAAUUAGUGCCUCAGAUGAGAAGAGGCUUCCAGGGAAAUCUGAGCAUAAAAAUGAAGAUAGAACCCCAGAUGAGAAGAAACUUCCUGGAAAAUCUGAUGUUAAUGGUGGAGAAAUAUUCAUCCAAAAGGAGAAGGAAAGGGGCGUAGAUAGAAAAAGUAUCUUAGGUGAAAAGAAAUUUGCUAGUCAGCUUUCAGGUUACGGUGAGAGGGUCUCUCAGAAUAGCCAUCUCACUGGGCAGCCAAAGGAGUCUAAUUUUGUACAGGAGGUUGACAGGAGGACCAGAGAUGAAGUCAGAGGUAGCAGGAAACAGUUGGUUGAG